AGCAGCCGCGGUAAUUCCAGCUCCAAUAGCGUAUAUUAAAGUUGUUGCAGUUAAAAAGCUCGUAGUUGAAUUUCGGGAUCAGACUGUCGGUCGUGCCUCGGUACGCACUGGCAUUAUUGGUUCCUACCUUCUGAAGAACCGCGAUGUCAUUAAUUUGGUGUCGCGGGGAAUCAGGACUGUUACUUUGAAAAAAUUAGAGUGUUUAAAGCAGGCUUACGCUUGAAUACAUUAGCAUGGAAUAAUGAAAUAGGACGUUUGAUUCUAUUUUGUUGGUUUCUAGGAUCGACGUAAUGAUUAAUAGGGAUAGUUGGGGGCAUUAGUAUUCAAUUGUCAGAGGUGAAAUUCUUGGAUUUAUUGAAGACUAACUACUGCGAAAGCAUUUGCCAAGGAUGUUUUCAUUAAUCAAGAACGAAAGUUAGGGGAUCGAAGACGAUCAGAUACCGUCGUAGUCUUAACCAUAAACUAUGCCGACUAGGGAUCGGAUGA
rnacentral:rRNA from 1 species